rnacentral:rRNA from 1 species
UACGGAGGGUGCAAGCGUUGUUCGGAAUCAUUGGGCGUAAAGCGCACGUAGGCGGGUUUGUAUGUCGAUUGUGAAAGCCCCGGGCUUAACCUGGGAAUUGCAGUCGAAACUGCAGAUCUUGAAUACCUAAGAGGGUGGGAGAAUUGCUGGUGGAGUAGUGAAAUACGUAGAGAUGUGGAGGAACACCGAUGGCGAAGGCAGCCUUCUGGGCCAACACUGACGCUCAUGCACGAAAGCGUGGGGAGCAAACAGG